GGUAAAAUACUAAGAGCCUUAAAGGCAGCAGAUCCCAUCUGAUUUUGGAAGCUAAGCAGGAUCAGCUCUGGUUAGUAUUUGAAUAGAAGACUAUCAAUGAAUAUCAGGCUCUGUAGACU
rnacentral:rRNA from 11 species